CGGUGAGGUAGAGGAGCAUACAACAUUAGUAAUCGACAAGAGGAUGACAACGAUGAUAGUUGGUGGAAGGGUUGUUUGCCGAAGCAUAAUAAGGGUCAGACUUAUUAUUGCUGGUACAUCUUUGAAUAAAAGAUGCACUGUCAUGCAAAAUUAAGUGCAUGGAGAACUACUGAUCGA
rnacentral:ncRNA from 2 species